rnacentral:rRNA from 1 species
AGAUUGAACGCUGGCGGCAGGCCUAACACAUGCAAGUCGAGCGGCAGCACGGGUACUUGUACCUGGUGGCGAGCGGCGGACGGGUGAGUAAUGCCUAGGAAUCUGCCUGGUAGUGGGGGAUAACGCUCGGAAACGGACGCUAAUACCGCAUACGUCCUACGGGAGAAAGCAGGGGACCUUCGGGCCUUGCGCUAUCAGAUGAGCCUAGGUCGGAUUAGCUAGUUGGUGAGGUAAUGGCUCACCAAGGCGACGAUCCGUAACUGGUCUGAGAGGAUGAUCAGUCACACUGGAACUGAGACACGGUCCAGACUCCGUA